rnacentral:rRNA from 1 species
GAUGAACGCUAGCGACAGGCUUAACACAUGCAAGUCGAGGGGCAGCAUAAAAGUAGCAAUACUUUGGUGGCGACCGGCGCACGGGUGAGUAACGCGUAUGCAACCUACCUAUCAGAGGGGAAUAACCCGGCGAAAGUCGGACUAAUACCGCAUAAAACAGGGGCACCGCAUGGUGAUAUUUGUUAAAGAAAUUCGCUGAUAGAUGGGCAUGCGUUCCAUUAGGUAGUUGGUGAGGUAACGGCUCACCAAGCCGACGAUGGAUAGGGGAACUGAGAGGUUGGUCCCCCACACUGGUACUGAGACACGGACCAGACUCCUACGGGAGGCAGCAGUGAGGAAUAUGGUCAAUGGGCGAGAGCCUGAACCAGCCAAGUCGCGUGAAGGAAGAAGGAUCUAUGGUUCGUAAACUUCUUUUGCAGGGGAAUAAAGUGCGGGACGUGUCCUGUUUUGUAUGUACCCUGAGAAUAAGGAUCGGCUAACUCCGUGCCAGCCGCCGCAGUAA